rnacentral:rRNA from 1 species
ACGGAAGGCAGCAGUGGGGAAUAUUGCACAAUGGGGGAAACCCUGAUGCAGCGACGCCGCGUGAGUGAAGAAGUUAUUCGUAAUGUAAAGCUCUAUCAGCAGGGAAGAAAAUGACGGUACCUGACUAAGAAGCCCCGGCUAACUACGUGCCAGCAGCCGCGGUAAUCCGUAGGGGGCAAGCGUUAUCCGGAUUUACUGGGUGUAAAGGGAGCGUAGACGGUCUGGCAAGUCUGAUGUGAAAGGCAGGGGCUCAACUCCUGGACUGCAUUGGAAACUGUCAGUCUUGAGUGUCGGAGAGGUAAGCGGAAUUCCUAGUGUAGCGGUGAAAUGCGUAGAUAUUAGGAGGAACACCAGUGGCGAAGGCGGCUUACUGGACGAUAACUGACGUUGAGGCUCGAAAGCGUGGGGAGCAAACAGGAUUAGAUACCCUGGUA